UGGGGAAUCUUGGACAAUGGGGGCAACCCUGAUCCAGCCAUGCCGCGUGAGUGAUGAAGGCCCUAGGGUCGUAAAGCUCUUUCGCCUGGGAAGAUAAUGACGGUACCAGGUAAAGAAACCCCGGCUAACUCCGUGCCAGCAGCCGCGGUAAUACGGAGGGGGUUAGCGUUGUUCGGAAUUACUGGGCGUAAAGCGCGCGUAGGCGGAUUGUUAAGUCGGGGGUGAAAUCCCGGGGCUCAACCCCGGAACUGCCUUCGAUACUGGCAGUCUUGAGGUCGAGAGAGGUGAGUGGAAUACCGAGUGUAGAGGUGAAAUUCGUAGAUAUUCGGUGGAACACCAGUGGCGAAGGCGGCUCACUGGCUCGAUUCUGACGCUGAGGUGCGAAAGUGUGGGGAGCAAACAGGAUUAGAUACCCCCGUAGUCC
rnacentral:rRNA from 1 species